ACAUAAUGAUGCUUUGCCAUGCUAAUACUGAGGGAUUAUCUGGAUCUCGCUGAGUUGAAUUCUCAUAUUUACUGAAUGUU